AACUGCUGGGAGGAAUUAAGGACAGCCCUGUGCAUUGGUCCUUUGGCUCAGCAAUCUGCCGUUUGAUUGGUCCGAGAGCUGGGGGCGGGGCUUUGGGCCGGUGCCGCGAGAAGCCGGAAUUACUUUGGAGAGCCCCGCCCCCUGGCUCCGCAGAUAGAGAAACUGAAGCACGGAGAGGUUAUGCAGCUUGCCCAGGUUCACGCAGCUGGUAAGAACAGCGUCGGAGUCCAUGUUCUUAUCACUCAAGAUGUUCUGUUGGGGACAGCAUGCCGUGGUCUUGAGGAUCUCCUCCUUCUCAGAUGACCUGCUGCUGACCUCAGAUACCUAUAGAGACUCUGCUGGUGCCUGUCAAAGGUGCUGUAACCUCCCACUCCCAGAAAAAGUGCCUCUGCUCUCUCUCAUCUGCUGAAGGUAGCACUGCUGGAAGUCUUGUAUGGAAGUGGAAGAUCUGAUGUCUUUGCUGCAUGUAUUGGCAUCUCUGGUUGAGAAGGUUGCUAGUGUUCCACUCUGCUGAUGCAGACACUGGUAGUGGCAUUGAUGUGAUAAAGACUUCAAAGCACCAGUAAGUUCUCUACUGAAGUGGAAAGGAGCUUUUUGUGUCUUUUGUCUCCUGGGCUCCAAAGUCAUGCUUCCUGGUGUUGCCAGUGAGCAGGGAGAAUUUAGUGAAGAAGCUUUUUGCAGAGAUGACUAGCUGUCUGCUAAAAUUCCGUUAUGUAGAAUGAGUGUCAAGAAGUAGCCACACACACAUUAAAAACAUUCGGAACCCCUGUACCCCACCUUUACAUUUAGUGGAGUCAUAGGACUAGCUCACACCCAUGUGAACAGAGCUGAUGUGUCUCAUUUCGGGGUCAAGGAGUUUAAGAAGUGGGGUGUGUCUCCUUGACAUUCUCUUUUUCCUCUUCUGCCAGCUCUAAUACCUCAAGGAAUGUCAGAAUAGGGGACAGAAAGAGCCAGGACAUCCACCUUGCACUGUUCUGGGAGCAAGAGAUACAUUUUCUGGGUUGGGCACUGUGGAUCAUGCCUAUAAUCCCAGGACUUUGGGAGGCUGAGGUGGGCGAAUUGCCUGAGCUCAGGAGUUUGUGACCAGCCUUGGCAACACAGGGAAACCCCAUCUCUAUUAAAAUACAAAAAAUUAGUCAGGUGUGGCAGCGUGUGCCUGUAAUCCCAGCUACU